GCCGGGGAGCUGCCCUCGACGCCGUCAACCCGCAAGAAGGACCUCUUCCUCCGCCUCUCCGACAGCCCCGUCCUCCUCCCGGACAAACGCGUGGAUCAGGCCUGACCUUGCCCCGGUCUCUCUUCCCUGCCCUUCCGCAGCGGUGCCGCCAUAAUCCUCGAUGCCAGAGUGGCUGUGGUCGUCUUUGGGCCAUGGAUCCUCACCAGGGUCGUCAUCAUCUUCUUUCGCCUCAGGACGCAGCAAGUGCUUCUCCUCCUCCAUGAACGGACAUUGUAGCAGCUCGCUUCUGUAUCCAGGACUCCUCAGCUGUCAUUCAGAUCGAUGAAUGUUUGCAAUGUGACAAAUCGUUGGAGUAGAAGUUGGAAUGCGAAAAAUUAUUUGUAUGCUAGGCAGUGAUAUUUUAUAUCGAUGUUCAAGCUCCAAGGACUGAUUCUAUUGUUGCUGUUUAUCUACCGCAGAUUUUUUCCACGAGUUUGAAGAAUCGUUAUUAGGAUGAAAUUUGAAUAUUUGAUGCCGGCGUCAAUCUAUUAAGUGAAGGGAUAAUUCUUGCGUAUUAGUAAAUCAUGUACGUGCAUCAGAUCAGAUAUAUAUACUGUUAGCCUAUAGCAGUUCCAUCGCCCUUUUGUUAAUUUUCACUCACACAAUAUUAAUUAUAUCCUCCGUGUUCCUAAUGGUGGAGCGUGGAAUUUUACAGUACACAAGCUCAGUAAACCCAUGUAUUGUACAUAGUGGUACUCUUAUAAUUUCUGUCAUUAUAUUAAGCGGAAAUUAUGGAAUGCUGUGGCGCUGCCAUCAUCGCCCCCUCUCUAUCCGUUGAAUUGUAUUGUAGAUAACAUAAGAUUUGAACCUUAAAGAAAAAGAAAGCAGUAUUGUUCCAACCUGUCUAUUAAUUUGUACUUUUGGGGCUGUUUGUACUGAUGUUGAUGAUUAUUAAUAGAUCGGCGGAAUUUUUACAAAAAAAUGUAUCAAUUUAGGAUGUUGGUAAAAUGAUCUUACCAGAUACGUGUGGUAGUUUUUUCCUGGAGGACGCUAAUGCCAACGCUAACUUUAACUUUUUUCUAGCAUGUGUUUAAAUAUAUUAAAUAUAUCUAUAGUAGAUUUCAAUCUACUUGUACGGUCAAUUACUUUGAUAGGAAGUCUAAGAACGAUAUGAGUAAUUCAAGGUGGAGGGCGUGAAUUCAACGUGGAGGACGCGACGGAUGGCGCACCAUGUGGUAAGGGAGGCGCAGGCGUCACGAGGUGCCAGGGUGAUUCCCUAUUGGGCUCAAGGUAGACUGUAUGCGGUUUUGUUACUUGGAUCAGAUCCAGCGACUCGGGAUAUUUGGACUGGAAGGUCGUUGGAUCUUUUCACCUGAGACUAGAACCUUUUUUUUCCUAAUUCUCGAAUACCGAAUUAACAAGAAUAGUAUUGUUUGGACUUUAGAGGUUGAUACAGUGCUCCAAAGAAUGCAUUAGUACAAGCAUUGCUAGAAAAUUAGUGUGUGUAUAUACAUAUAUGUAUGUAUUAUGGUCCUUACAGCAUAACUUAAUGUACAAGAACCUGUUUACUCAACAACUUAUAAGCAACAUUUAUCCAUCUAUGUUUGUAGUUUCUGUUUUAUGUACAUAUAUAGUUUAAUCUCUCCUCGAGUUAGACGUGGAAGACUGAAUUUUAAUGGAACUCUUCAGGUUUGCUUGGUGAGGUUGCGGCAUGAAAGAUGUUGAUUUGUCGUAGAUUUUUGUCAGGUCCAUGUAGUGAUGAUUCAGAUUUGCAUUCGGGAAAUCACUCGAAAAAUGAAGAGGCAGCUAUUCCCAUAUGCUGCUGAGAAGUUAGGGAAGAAGGUGUUGUGAUACAUGCCUUUGUGGUAUCACUAUAUGCGUUUUUUCACCAGUUGUGCGUUGCCCGACUUGGUCAUAACUGUAUAAUGUAUUGAACUCCAGAUAGCUGCUCUUUCAUUGGAGCAGGUUGCAUCAGAACGGCGUUUGCUGCAUCCUCAGGAUGGCGCGUGCUCUUGUGUUUUGUCUGUGCAUCAUCGUCAUGUAGUAUUUAUGAAGCCGAACCUGAUAUGUUGUUUAGGUCGAUGUACAAGUAUGCUACCUGAACACCCUUGAACCUAGGCCAUGUACUAUCUACAUUUGUGUGAUUUUUAUGACGUAUGCUAUGCCAGUGUAUGUUGUGCGUUA